rnacentral:rRNA from 1 species
CAGUCGAGCGAGCGGAACUAACAGAUUUACUUCGGUAAUGACGUUAGGAAAGCGAGCGGCGGAUGGGUGAGUAACACGUGGGGAACCUGCCCCAUAGUCUGGGAUACCACUUGGAAACAGGUGCUAAUACCGGAUAAGAAAGCAGAUCGCAUGAUCAGCUUUUAAAAGGCGGCGUAAGCUGUCGCUAUGGGAUGGCCCCGCGGUGCAUUAGCUAGUUGGUAAGGUAAAGGCUUACCAAGGCGAUGAUGCAUAGCCGAGUUGAGAGACUGAUCGGCCACAUUGGGACUGAGACACGGCCCAAACUCCUACGGGAGGCAGCAGUAGGGAAUCUUCCACAAUGGACGCAAGUCUGAUGGAGCAACGCCGCGUGAGUGAAGAAGGUUUUCGGAUCGUAAAGCUCUGUUGUUGGUGAAGAAGGAUAGAGGUAGUAACUGGCCUUUAUUUGACGGUAAUCAACCAGAAAGUCACGGCUAACUACGUGCCAGCAGCCGCGGUAAUACGUAGGUGGCAAGCGUUGUCCGGAUUUAUUGGGCGUAAAGCGAGCGCAGGCGGAAGAAUAAGUCUGAUGUGAAAGCCCUCGGCUUAACCGAGGAACUGCAUCGGAAACUGUUUUUCUUGAGUGCAGAAGAGGAGAGUGGAACUCCAUGUGUAGCGGUGGAAUGCGUAGAUAUAUGGAAGAACACCAGUGGCGAAG